rnacentral:rRNA from 1 species
CUACGCCCUUGACUUUGGGAUAACUUCAGGAAACUGGGGCUAAUACCGGAUAGGAGCUCCUGCUGCAUGGUGGGGGUUGGAAAGUUUCGGCGGUUGGGGAUGGACUCGCGGCUUAUCAGCUUGUUGGUGGGGUAGUGGCUUACCAAGGCUUUGACGGGUAGCCGGCCUGAGAGGGUGACCGGCCACAUUGGGACUGAGAUACGGCCCAG